ensembl:rRNA 5S_rRNA 5S ribosomal RNA
GCUUACGGCAAUACCAGCCCAAGAACGACCGGUCUCGUCUGAUCUCGGAAGCUAAGAAGGCUUGGGCCGCGUUAGUACUUGGAUGGGAGACCUCCUGGGAAUACCAGGUGCUGUAAGCU